UACGUAGGGUGCGAGCGUUGUCCGGAAUUAUUGGGCGUAAAGAGCUCGUAGGCGGUCUGUCGCGUCGGUCGUGAAAACUUGGGGCUUAACCCUGAGCUUGCGGUCGAUACGGGCAUGACUGGAGUUCGGUAGGGGAGACUGGAAUUCCUGGUGUAGCGGUGAAAUGCGCAGAUAUCAGGAAGAACACCGGUGGCGAAGGCGGGUCUCUGGGCCACUACUGACGCUGAGGAGCGAAAGCGUGGGGAGCGAACAGG
rnacentral:rRNA from 1 species